rnacentral:rRNA from 1 species
ACUGAAUAGAUACCCGGGUAGUCCACGCUGUAAACGAUGGAUACUAGGUGUAACCGGUCUCGACCCCGGUUGUGCCGCAGCUAAACGCAUUAAGUAUCCCGCCUGGGGAGUAUGGCCGCAAGGUUGAAACUCAAAGGAAUUGACGGGGGCCCGCACAAGCGGUGGAGGAUGUGGUUUAAUUCGACGCAACGCGAAGAACCUUACCAAGGCUUGACAUCCACUGAAUUUUGUAGAAAUACAGAAGUGCCCGAAAGGGAGCAGUGAGACAGGUGGUGCAUGGCUGUCGUCAGCUCGUGUCGUGAGAUGUUGGGUUAAGUCCCGCAACGAGCGCAACCCUCGAUGUUAGUUACCAUCAUUAAGUUGGGGACUCUAACGUGACUGCCGGUGAUAAGCCGGAGGAAGGUGAGGACGACGUCAAGUCAUCAUGCCCCUUACGGUCUUGGGCUACACACGUCCUACAAUGGUAUAGACAAAGGGUCAGCAAGCUAGCGAUAGUGAGCGAAUCCCGAUAAACCUAUAUCUCAGUUCGGAUUGCAGG